UUGUCGGUUGCGGCUCAUCGUAUGGCAGUUUGCUGUGUAGUAAUGCCAGCUGCCUAGCGAAGGGCAACAAAUGACUG
rnacentral:pre_miRNA from 1 species